AUACUUACCUUGAUUGACUUUGGGAGGAUCAAGAAAUUCUCAAAGUAUGGCGGGGAGCCUUCAUUGCACAGCGAGGAGUUCUCCGUCAUGGAUUGGCCUUCGGGUCCGUCCCGGUCGCAAUUUUUGAUGUUUUC
rnacentral:snRNA from 15 species